rnacentral:rRNA from 1 species
AUUGAACGCUGGCGGCAGGCCUAACACAUGCAAGUCGAACGAGUGGCGGACGGGUGAGUAAUGUCUGGGAAACUGCCAGAUGGAGGGGGAUAACUACUGGAAACGGUAGCUAAUACCGCAUACCAUCGGAUGUGCCCAGAUGGGAUUAGCUUGGAGGUGAGGUAACGGCUCACAUAGGCGACGAUCCCUAGCUGGUCUGAGAGUAUGACCAGCCAAAGUGGAACUGAGACACGGUGUCGCAUCCGACGGGAGGCAGGAGUGGGGAAUAUUGAACAGUUGGCGGAAGACUGCUGCAGCCAUGGCGAGUGUAAGAAGAAGUCCGUCGGGUUGUAAAGUACUUUCAGCGGGGAGGCGGUACCCGCAGAAGAAGCACCGGCUAACUCCGUGCCAGCAGCCGCGGUAAUAC